rnacentral:rRNA from 1 species
UACGGAGGAUCCAAGCGUUAUCCGGAAUCAUUGGGUUAAAGGGUCCGUAGGCGGUCAGAUAAGUCAGUGGUGAAAGCCCAUCGCUCAACGAUGGAACGGCCAUUGAUACUGUCUGACUUGAAUUAUUAGGAAGUAACUAGAAUAUGUAGUGUAGCGGUGAAAUGCUUAGAUAUUACAUGGAAUACCAAUUGCGAAGGCAGGUUACUACUAAUGGAUUGACGCUGAUGGACGAAAGCGUGGGGAGCGAACAGG